AACGCACCUUGCGCCCUUUGGUAUUCCGAAGGGCAUGCCUGUUUGAGUGUCAUUAAAUUCUCAACUUCAAAACUUUAUUGAUUUGAAGCUUGGAUGUUGGAGGUUACUGCAGGCAUUGUCAAAUGUCAGCUCCUCUUAAAAGCAUUAGCUUGGGACCGUGAAGGACCGGCUCUGGUUUGAUAAUCCUAUCUAUGCCAUUGCUGAGAAACAAAAGGUCUUGGCUUCUAACUGUCUUCGGACUGUCUCGCAAGAGGCAUAACUAUUUGCUUGACCUCAAAUCAGGUAGGACUACCCGCUGAACUUAA
rnacentral:misc_RNA from 1 species